AAAAAUAACCCUGAGCUCAGUGUUAUUUUGUUUGUGAUCAUCUCCCCGCCAACCCUGCUUAAGGAGAGCUCUUGAAGUCUGCAAUAUUUACAAGUUUAACAGACAAACGGAAAACAAAGCAUAAAAAUAUAAAGGUCUCAGAUGAAUUCCUGAAUGUUUUGAAGCAGAGAAUAUAGAAAACUCUUUGCCUGUGGAUUCCUCUGGGGCUUCCUGACCCAUCAGAGAAGAGCACAGAGCAGUUUUGCUUUGUGUUUAGAGUCGGUCAGGAUGACCUCAAGUAUGUAGGCAAUCUGAAGGGUGUUAACUGCAUGUUCACUAUGUUCUAUGCUUCCCACCACUGAUUAAUUUCCUCCCUCUUUUUUCUUUUUAGCUGAGACAGAUUUUACUAUGAUUGUGAAAGUCUGAAAAUGUAGCUGUGGCCCCAUAGGCUGUAAACAAACUCCAUUUCAUAAAAAAGACAAAAUUUUUUUCUCUAUUUGAUAUGCUUCUUGUUCCACAUCAGGAGUUUUAUUUCAUCUGGUCAUUCAAAUUACUGAGAGCUGC